GCUGUGGAGAGGGGACUUUUCGCCUCUCCCAGGAGGGCCACUGUCAGUGCGUGGAGAGAAAGCCCUCGGGUGUCUCCUAGUCCUGUUAAGAAUAAACUGAGUAGAACCAACAUGGAGACUUCUCUGAGAAGUCAGUCAGACCCCAAAAGCAGCACAGAAGGAAGUUUAUGCCAGUGUUAGGGCGUGAAAUGACCAUGUGGGAGCACAGAGGCACCGUAGUUAGCAGUUACUCGAUGGAAUCGAGGUGAUCCUCCUGCCAAAAGCAGAACUCACAGACCUUCCGUACUGAAAUACUGCACAGUGCGGUGGAGACGCGCACACGUUGCAUGCAGGGGGCUGAAAUCGCACCAGCUAGUGCCAUGCAGUGGGACUGGAGAUGGGCUGAUGGGAAGGGAAAUGGGUGUGUAAAGUAGGGAAAGGACAGAAGCCAUGCAGAUGGCUGGAGAACUGGAAUGGAUGAAGAGCCCCUUCAUCACUAAAAGUGCUAGCUGGCAGUUGAACUGCCUUCCUGACGAGUUUUGGUCUCGUUGUCUUCAGGACUGCUAAUCAUAUGGGAUUUUUUUUUAGAAAACCUGUUGGCUAAGGAACGUGUUCACCUGUUUCUUUUCCUUUUCAGACUUCCAAAUUUGCCUUGACUCUUUCCUCUGUGCAGAUUGCUGUGCAUUCAGUGUCACUUCUUUGUUAUCAGAUGCCCAAAAUGAAAUUUUCUUCUUAAGGGUUAUGUUCCAACCUCUUUGGCAUGUUUUAAGGGAAGUGCCUUAAAUUACAGCCUGCCUUGUGGAAAGAAAAGUGACAUUUUGUGCAAGUGGAGAUUAUCUUCCUUCGUUUUGACUGAUUGUCCAGCUACCAAGAAGGGUGACACAGGUAUUUAUUUCCUUGUUGAAAAUGAGGCAAUGAAAUUGAGCUCAAUCUACGACUAUAAGGAAAUGCUUUUUUAAGAAUCCCCUGGACUUAGUGUCUGUUUAUAAGAUAGGAUAUUACUGAGAAAGUCUCUAUACUCUUAUUGUAAUAAAUCUAGACUAUUUGGUGAUCUAAUCUCUGUAAAAACUACUUAUCAGCCUCUACGUUGUACUUUUUCAGAAUAUUCACAUGCUUAUUGCAGC